UUUUUUUUUUUUUUUUUUUUUUUUUUUUUG
rnacentral:ribozyme from 13 species